CGAACGCUGGCGGCAGGCUUCACACAUGCAAGUCGAGCGCCCCGCAAGGGGAGCGGCAGACGGGAGAGUAACACGUGGGAACAUACCUUUUGGUUCGGAACAACUGAGGGAAACUUCAGCUAAUACCGGAUAAGCCCUUACGGGGAAAGAUUUAUCGCCGAAAGAUUGGCCCGCGUCUGAUUAGCUAGUUGGUGAGGUAACGGCUCACCAAGGCGACGAUCAGUAGCUGGUCUGAGAGGAUGAUCAGCCUCACUGGGACUGAGACACGGCCCAGACUCCUACGGGAGGCAGCAGUGGGGAAUAUUGGACAAUGGGGGCAACCCUGAUCCAGCCAUGCCGCGUGAGUGAUGAAGGCCUUAGGGUUGUAAAGCUCUUUUGCCCGGGAAGAUAAUGACGGUACCGGGAGAAUAAGCCCCGGCUAACUUCGUG
rnacentral:rRNA from 1 species